rnacentral:tRNA from 1 species
UAGCUCAGUUGGUUAGAGCGUGGUGCUGAUAACACCAAGGGCGCAGGUUCGAUCCCCGU